AGUGAACGCUGGCGGCAGGCCUAACACAUGCAAGUCGAGCGGCAGCGGGUUCCCGCGAGGGGAUGCCGGCGAGCGGCGGACGGGUGAGGAACACAUCGGAAUCUGCCUGGUUGUGGGGGAUAACGUAGGGAAACUUACGCUAAUACCGCAUGAGACCCUGAGUCGACGGACUGGGGGUGGAAAGUGAGGGACCUUCGGGCCUCACGCGACCAGAUGAGCCGAUGUCGGAUUAGCUAGUUGGCGGGGUAACGGCCCGCCAAGGCGACGAUCCGUAGCUGGUCUGAGAGGAUGAUCAGCCACACUGGGACUGAGACACGGCCCAGACUCCUACGGGAGGCAGCAGUGGGGAA
rnacentral:rRNA from 1 species